AGUGAACGCUGGCGGCAGGCCUAACACAUGCAAGUCGAACGGAAGGACAGUAAGAGCUUGCCCUUACGGGUGGCGAGUGGCGGACGGGUGAGGAAUAGAUAGGAAUCUAAUAUUACGGGGGGGAUAACGUAGGGAAACUUACGAUAAUACAGCAUAUGACCUACGGGAGAAAGCAGGGGAGCAACGGAGCUUGCGCGACUGAAUGAGCCGAUGUCGGAUUAGCUAGUUGGCGGGGUAAAGGAACACCAAGGCGACGAUCCGUAGCUGGUCUGAGAGGAUGAUCCGCCACACUGGAACUGAGACACGGUCCAGACUCCUACGGGAGGCAGCAGUAGGGAAUAUUGGGCAAUGGGCGCAAGCCUGAUCCAGCCAUGCCGCGUGGGUGAAGAAGGCCUUCGGGUUGUAAAACCCUUUUAUUGGGAAAGAAAAGCUGCAUGUUUAUACCCCGCUGUUCUGACGGUACCCAAAGAAUAAGCACCGGCUAACUUCGUG
rnacentral:rRNA from 1 species